UAAAAAGCCCUCAAUUUGGAUUUACAUUGGCCCAAUUACAUGAUAAAAAUCACUCACAAAGUCACACAAUUCUUCCUACAAAUUGUAAUUAAAACAAAACUACAGGGACUAAACAUGAAAAUUCAAAACAGAUAAAAAGUGAAAAACAACAAGUUAGCAUAUUUUGCCAUACAAGUCCCUAAUUUAAUUCGUCUUUCUUCAAUUAAGCCCCUACAGUUGCAGCUACCGGAGUUUUCACCUUCGGCGGCCUUCCUCUUCCUCUCGGAGCACCAAUUGGCUUCACCACCGGCGUAUCCUCCGUCAUCGGAUACUUCCUUGGCCUUCCACGCUUCUUCCCACUUCCCCCAGAGCUACCCUCACUCGUCUUCUUCAUAGGUACCGUUAUCGGCGCGUACGGAUCCCGCUCCUUCGGUGGCCUUCCACGUGGUCUAGGAUACCCAUCCGGUACCGGAACUGAACUUUUCGGCUUCGGCGGACGGCCUCUACCACGGCGCGGCGGCGCGUUUGGAUUUGGCUUCAUGUAGUUGUUCUUCAACAUAACUAAUUGCCCAGCUUGCUUCAUUUGAUUCAAAUGAUGUGCAAGGAGUGUACCAUGCGCUGGUGGUAGUGUACCAUGAGUCGCUUCAAUUUGCUUCCAUAUAGCUGAUUUAUUCGACCCUUCUUCUUCAUUCAACGCAUCUAUAGCUUCCAUAAUCAUAUCAGGAUAACUAGGCAAAGUUAGAUUAUGUUCUUCAGUAGCCAUUUUUGUUACAGAGAAAAACAAAAAUCUGUGAAAAAAAUGGCAGAGGAAGAAGAGGAUUUAAAUGGAUGAAAUCAACAAUGGGAGAAUG
rnacentral:misc_RNA from 1 species